rnacentral:rRNA from 1 species
GACGAACGCUGGCGGCGUGCCUAACACAUGCAAGUCGAACGGAAAGGCCCUGCUUUUGUGCGGUGCUCGAGUGGCGAACGGGUGAGUAACACGUGAGUAACCUGUACCUGACUUUGGGAUAUCUUUAGGAAACAGGGGCUCUUACCGGAUAGGAGCUAUUGCCGCAUGGUGGGCGUUGGAAAGAUUCGGUGGUUGGGGCUUGACUAGCGGCCUAUCAGCUUGAUGGUGGGGUAGGGGCUUACCAUGGUUUUGACGGGUAGCCGACCUGGGAGGGUAACCUGCCACAUUAGUACUGGGAUACGACCCAGACGCGAACCGUACGCAGAGGUGGAGUGGAUUACACAGGAGACUGGAGCCAGGUGUGACAACGCCGUGUGCGGUAAGACGUGCUUCGGGUUGUGAACCACUGUCGCCUUAGACGAGACGUGAGUGACGGUAAUGGGUAAAGAAGCACCGGCUAACUACGUG